GCGGGUGUAGUUUAAUGGCAAAACCUCAGCCUUCCAAGCUGAUGUUGUGGGUUCGAU
rnacentral:tRNA from 1 species